rnacentral:tmRNA from 1 species
GCACGGUACGCCCUUGAAAUCCGACGGCACAUCCCCCAUAUUGUCUGCAUGGUUGUAACUCCGGCAAUCUGGAGGCGUUCUGGACAGGGGUUCGAUUCCCCUCACCUCCACCUAAGCGCAUCGGGGUGUGCUUAGGUGGGGGUGUACCGGUUUCGACAGGGCGGGCGAAGGUGAGCAGGCAACCC